GUGAGGAAUAUUGGACAAUGGGCGCAAGCCUGAUCCAGCCAUGCCGCGUGCAGGAAGACGCAUCUAUGGUGUGUAAACUGCUUUUGUACGGGAAGAAACACUCCCUCGUGAGGGAGCUUGACGGUACCGUAAGAAUAAGGAUCGGCUAACUCCGUGCCAGCAGCCGCGGUAAUACGGAGGAUCCAAGCGUUAUCCGGAAUCAAUGGGUUUAAAGGGUCCGUAGGCGGUUUAAUAAGUCAGUGGUGAAAGCCCAUCGCUCAACGAUGGAACGGCCAUUGAUACUGUUAGACUUGAAUUACAAGGAAGUAACUAGAAUAUGUAGUGUAGCGGUGAAAUGCUUAGAUAUUACAUGGAAUACCAAUUGCGAAGGCAGGUUACUACUUGUGGAUUGACGCUGAUGGACGAAAGCGUGGGGAGCGAACAGGAUUAGAAACCCGAGUAGUCC
rnacentral:rRNA from 1 species